UACGUAGGGGGCAAGCGUUGUCCGGAAUCAUUGGGCGUAAAGCGCGUGUAGGCGGCCCGGUAAGUCCGCUGUGAAAGUCGGGGGCUCAACCCUCGAAUGCCGGUGGAUACUGUCGGGCUAGAGUGCGGGAGAGGCGAGUGGAAUUCCUGGUGUAGCGGUGAAAUGCGCAGAUAUUGGGAGGAACACCAGUGGCGAAGGCGGCUCACUGGACCGGUUCUGACGCUGAUGCGCGAAAGCGUGGGGAGCAAACGGG
rnacentral:rRNA from 1 species